AUUUCUCCAUACAAACGUACUCGACUGUUUUCUCCGUGGUUUUUGAAGCUAGAGCACAAUGAUUUUUUCAACACAGAUUAUUAUUAUUAAUAUCUGUGUCGCACUGUUUUGCUUUUUUUGAUAUUUUUGUUUUUUAAGGCGCUAGAGCACUACAAAUAUUCGCAUAAACGGCCUAAUUUACUAGGCCGCAAAGAGAAGCAUGGUGUUCAAAACUGACAUCAAUUA